AGGGUUUGAUCCUGGCUCAGAACGAACGUUGGCGGCGUGGUUGAGGCAUGCAAGUCGAACGAGAAAGCGGUCUUCGGAUCGUGAGUAAAGUGGCGAACGGGUGAGCAGAAGCUGGAUAACUUGCCCUGUAGAUGGGGAUAACGGCGGGAAACUGCCGCUAAUACUCAAUAAGACUACGGAUAUGCGUAUCUGUAUUAAAAGGAAUUCCGCUACAGGAGAGGUUCAGUGCUUAUCAGCUAGUUGGUGAGGUAAUGGCUCACCAAGGCUUCGACGGGUACCUGGUCUGAGAGGAUGUACAGGCACAUUGGAACUGAGACACUGUCCAAACACCUACGGGUGGCUGCAGUUCGGAAUAUUCCACACUGCACGAAAGUGCGAUGGAGCGACGCCGCGUGCGCGAUGAAGGCCUUCGGGUUGUAAAGCGCUUUCGGGAGGUAGCAAAGGGAAACUUGAGUUAAACUCCUAAAGAAGGGGCGGCUAACUACGUGCCAGCAGCCGCGGUAAUACGUAGGCCCCUAACGUUGUUCGGUGUUACUGGGCUUAAAGGGCUCGCAGGCGGCCAGAUAAGUCAGGUGUGAAAACUCACGGCUUACCCGUGAAAGUGCACUUGAAACUAUCUGGCUUGAGGAGUGCAGAGGUAAGGAGAAUUCUUGGUGUAGCGGUGACAUGCGCAGAUAUCAAGGAGAAGACCGGUGGCGAAGGCGCCUUACUGGGCAUUUUCUGACGCUCAGGAGCGAGAGCGUGGGGAGCGAACGGGAUUAGAUACCCCGGUAGUCCACGCUGUAAACGAUGUACAUUUGAUAGGGGGGGCCCAACUCUCCCUAUCGUAGGGAAACCGAUAAAUGUACCGCCUGGGGAGUAUGGUCGCAAGGCUGAAACUCAAAGGAAUUGACGGGGGCUC
rnacentral:rRNA from 1 species